rnacentral:rRNA from 1 species
UACGGAGGGUGCAAGCGUUAUCCGGAUUCACUGGGUUUAAAGGGUGCGUAGGAGGGUCUGUAAGUCAGCGGUGAAAUCUCCGAGCUUAACUCGGAAACUGCCAUUGAUACUAUAGAUCUUGAAUACCGUGGAGGUGAGCGGAAUAUGUCAUGUAGCGGUGAAAUGCUUAGAUAUGACAUAGAACACCGGUGGUGAAGGCGCUCUGCUAGGCCGCAACUGACACUGAGGGACGAAAGCUAGGGGAGCGAAUGGG